rnacentral:tRNA from 1 species
GGGUUGUAGCUCAGUGGUAGAGCACUUGCCUAUCGUGUGUGAGGCACUGGGUUUGAUCCUCAGCUCCA